rnacentral:rRNA from 1 species
AGUGAACGCUGGCGGUAGGCCUAACACAUGCAAGUCGAACGGCAGCACAGUAAGAGCUUGCUCUUACGGGUGGCGAGUGGCGGACGGGUGAGGAAUACAUCGGAAUCUACUUUUUCGUGGGGGAUAACGUAGGGAAACUUACGCUAAUACCGCAUACGACCUACGGGUGAAAGCAGGGGAUCUUCGGACCUUGCGCGAUUGAAUGAGCCGAUGUCGGAUUAGCUAGUUGGCGGGGUAAAGGCCCACCAAGGCGACGAUCCGUAGCUGGUCUGAGAGGAUGAUCAGCCACACUGGAACUGAGACACGGUCCAGACUCCUACGGGAGGCGGCAGUGGGGAAUAUUGGACAAUGGGCGCAAGCCUGAUCCAGCCAUACCGCGUGGGUGAAGAAGGCCUUGGGGUUGUAAAGCCCUUUUGUUGGGAAAGAAAAGCAGCAGGUUAAUACCCCGCUGUUCUGACGGUACCCAAAGAAUAAGCACCGGCUAACUUCGUG